CUCAGUUUGCACACGGUACGAAAGUAAUGUAUAAAGUGAAUCGUGCGGGAUCGGUUCAAACAGAUCCAACGACGACAUCUACAGAAGCAAAGCUAAACCAACCAACAACUUGUAAGAAGCUCCAAAAAACGUUGAAAAACAUUAUGGAACAAAAAGACGCAAAAUCCUGCUGUAAACAGCAAUCCUGCUGCCCUAACUGCAAAUGUUGCAAAGACCAACAAUGCGCUUCGACUGAUUGCUGCAAAAAGACUGGCAAUUGUCAGAAUUGCAGCUGCUGUGCUAAAAAUCAGUGUUGCCAGGAAGGUUCCUGCAAGGCAGGAAAAUGUUCCUGCUGUAGCUGCUGUUGCGCUGGAUGCAAAUCAGGAAAGGAAUGUUGCAAAACAGGCGAGUGUUGCAAAGAUGGAAAAUGUUCCUGCUGUGGGGAAAGAAAGGAUUGUUGCAAGACCGGGAAAUGUUCCUGCUGCAACUGCUGUUGCGCUGGUUGUAAAACAGGGAAGGAAUGUUGCAAAACAGGCGAGUGUUGCAAGGACGGUAAAUGUUCCUGCUGCGGGGAAGGGAAACAAUGUUGCAAGACCGGGAAAUGUUCCUGCUGCAGCUGCUGUUGCGCUGGGUGCAAAUCAGGAAAGGAAUGUUGCAAGACAGGGGAAUGUUGCAAGGAUGGGAAAUGUUCCUGCUGUGGUUGCGCCUGCAAGGAUGGGAAGUGUGCCGGUUGUAAAACUGGGAAGGAUUGUUGCAAAAGUGGGGAAUGCUGCAAAGGUGGGAAGUGUUCCUGCUGCAAAUAGAUGGUUUCACUAACUACUAAUGUCUUCACCGUUUUUGAAAAAAUUUAUAAUUAUGUAAUGUUAUACUCGUAACUAAUAUUGGAUUAUGAUGUUAUGAAAUAAAUAUAUACUCUGCA